rnacentral:rRNA from 1 species
AUUGAACGCUGGCGGCAGGCUUAACACAUGCAAGUCGAACGAGUGGCGGACGGGUGAGUAAUGCUUGGGAAUCUAGCUUAUGGAGGGGGAUAACUACGGGAAACUGUAGCUAAUACCGCGUACCAUAGGAUGACCCCAAGUGGGACUAGGUAGUUGGCGAGGUAAAGGCUCACCAAGCACACGAUCUCUAGCUGGUCUGAGAGGAUGACCAGCAACGCUGGGAAGGGGACACGGCCCAGACUCCGACGGGAGACACGGGUGAAGAAUAUUGCGAAAUGGGGGCAACCAAACGCGGCCAUGCCGCGUGAAUGAAGAAGGCCUUCGGGUUGUAAAGUUCUUUCGGUAGCGAGGCGUUAACUACAGAAGAAGCACCGGCUAACUCCGUGCCAGCAGGCGCGGUAAUUC